AACAAUAGCACAUAAGUGGGCUGGAAUCCCCAAAUCCAUAACCCUCACCCAUGUCCCUGCUGUGUCAUCUGUACCAUCCACGCCCUCAGCUUUUGGCCACCAUUUUGUUUCACCCUAAAGCUGUAUUAACAAAGUCUCAAAAAGUGACACAAAGGGCCGGGUGCGGUGGCUCACGCCUGUAAUCCCAACACUUUGGGAGGCUGAGGUGGGCGGAUCACCUGAGGUCAGAAGUUUG
rnacentral:lncRNA from 10 species